CGGGGUGGGAAUCACACGGGUCGUUAAGCACUGACGGGAACCGUCCUUCGCUGUCUCCGCGUGCCGCGGGGACGCUGGGGGCUGACGCGCCACAUAAACAAGCGGCAGCUCGGCGGCGGAACUUUCCGGUCCCGAAGGCGCCGGCGUAGCGGUCGCGGUCUCCGCCACUCCGCAGCAGUGAGGAGGGGACUCGCGGGACAGGCUGGGUCACGGUUUACUUCAGCUGUCGGAAUGGCCUUUGGGGUCAAGGAACUGCGGACGGAAAGGAAAUCGCACUGCCUUCACAGAUGCCAAGGAAGAGUUUGUUUGGACAGCCUCGGCGUGCGCAGGGUGCUGGAGAGAGAGGCGCACGCGACGUCCCCCAGAGGCGCUACGCUCCAACUCGGGAGGAAGAGGAAGACGGAGGAAGAUUCCGCCUUCGCGGCUCGCCAGGCAGAAUUCUGGAAACCUGCUCAAACAGCAGGGCGCGCUGGACCAGACCAUGGGGCCCAUCCACACACUGGAACAGAGCCUUUACAGAUACCAGACCAUGGGGCCCA